rnacentral:lncRNA from 1 species
CCUCUCAUCUUGUAGGUGAGGAAACCGAAGGCCUGAGGGAGAAAUGACUUGCCAGGAACCCCUGUUAAGGAAAAUUAACAAAGUGUGGUUAUUAAAGAAGAACUGAGUUGGGAGUCAGACCUGGAGGCCCGCACCCGUGGUUAAGACAUUAUACCACCUUGAGUCUGGCCUGUUGACUGAGGAUACAACAGAGAAAUGCAUAAUGUCCAGUCAAUUUAUUAAAGUUCCAAAGUCGGUCGCGCGCAGUGGCUCACGCCUGUAAUCUCAACACUUCGGGAGGCCGAGGCGUGUGGAUCACGAGAUUUCAAUAUGAUUAAAGGAGUGAGGACACAGCGAAAGUGAGACAAGGAAAAGAGAACAAAAUAAAACAGGAAAGACAGAAAAGCCAAUACCACACGUGUUAAGAGGUAAGUUCCUGUGUUAGAUAUCUGGGCUUAAUUUUAUGGGAAGCUAUGUGGAGCAUGCCUCAGAAUUACAUCACUGAAUCCAGGGAGAUUCUUCUUAGUUACCCUCACCUUUUCUUCCCACUUCAUGCCCAGUAACAAGCUCCCGUGCUGCUAGAGAAAGUCCUCAGCUAGAAACUGGUGCAAAUUCUGGAGAUGAGACCUUGUAGAGUGUUAAGAAUGGUUUUCUUCCCAGCAGCUACAGCUAAGGAAUAGGGGCUGGGCUAUGAAUACAUCUGCUACAAACCAAUAAAGCCCUUAUGCUCCUUUUGGUGAUCGACAAUGUAUUUAAAAAUAUUAGAUGAUCAAGAAGGGCUGCAGAAAGGAGGAAACAGAAACAAACAGCACACCUCUUGGUUUAUUUUUUUUCAUUUCAUCAGUUUCAAGGAAAAUAUGUUGGGAGUUCCUGGCAUAGAGAAUGUCACAAAGACAUGUUUUCAAUAGUAGUGCUAUCCCGAGGGCAGAGAAGACCCAGAGAAAGCCCAAGUGGCUGCUGGAACAAAAUCAGACACCGUGCCACCUGUCCACACUCCUUGGCUCUGCCAUCAUGCUGAAGAUCGCUUUAAAGGACUGGCUUCCCUCCCCCCAAAAUUAAAAGAGCACAGACUGAGAAACUGAAUGUGGGAGACAGCAGUGGAUUAUGCUGUUCUCAGGGGUCACCUCAGGUUUGGAAGCAUUCUUUCAAAUUAACCCAUCUCAGGCCAUCUGCAGAGAAGAAAGGUGGUACCUAACUUUUUUUCUUGUCGGCAUUUGGUAGGGGUGUUUUAUUGACCAAAUAUGUUCCCACAACCUAGUUUUUUGUGACUAACUAAAUAUAGUAGAGUUUUAAAUUUUAUCAUCAAAAUCUAUAGACAAUUUUUGAUGAAAAUAGACUCCAUCUCUAUGUCCUGCUUUUCUUCUUCUUAUUAAUUACAUUGCUGUAUAAAAGAACAAGACUUCAGCAUCAAGAAUAUCUUGUCUCUUGGCAUUGAAUUUAUACAAGGUGCUCUUUCUUUAAUGCUGUCUCAAAGGACAUAUUUUUACUCAUUAAAAAGGAAGAUCGGAAUCUAGUUGUAUGCACUGCUCCAACAUAUUAAUAAUUAAAAUUAGGAGGUAAAUGUGGUCAAAGCUAUAGAAAGACUGAGAUGUCAUUUAUAUGGAUUACUCUAUAGCACUCUACAAACAGAAAUUGUUAAAUAAUAGUUUAUAUAAAUAUUUUGUAGCAUUUCAAAUAUUUGAGUGCUUGAAGUUUCUCCUCUUCUAUAGUUCAGAUUAUCAAUUUGAAGACUUACUCCGCUAGUUAAUAUGUUUUUAGUCUCGUUUGAGUAUUAUAUAAAAGCAAUUUUCAGUUAAAUGUGUUCCGCUUACAUAAAACGUUACAAAUUAUUGAGGAUUUAAUUACUUAUUCAUGUUCCUGUAAUGUCUUUAGAAGAUUUUCUUAUUAUUACCUAUCAAUAUAUGUAUGCUUUGUCAAAGAAAAAUCAAACAUAUAUAUCAUUGAAAUUGAAACUUUUUAAAAGUACUUAUUAAUUCUAUUGAAAAACCACAUCCAUAGGAACAAUUACAAUAUAAUAUUGUGAACAUGUAAACAUAUACCCUAUGUCUAUUUUAUGUAUAAGCAUGUAUGAUUAAAAAUAUAGUGAAGAAUUUUUAAACCUAGUAUUAUAAAGUAAAAAUUAGUUAACUUCUGAUGAUUAUUUGUUAAUUAAGAUAAAAUUAUUUUGAUUUGGGUGAUUUUAAAUAAAGAAAAAUAUUAAAUUACAUGACAAAAAUUCUUUAUAAAAUGUUUAUGAUUUUUACAUUGGUUUUAUCACUUUUCCCACUAUUUUAUUUUAAGAUGACCUGCCUUGUUUAAAACACUGUAUUCAUCUUAGUUAAAUUAGAUUCCAUUUGUAAAAUAAUUAACAAAUGAUUUGCUCUAUUGUACAGUGCGGUUAUAAACUGAGUCAGUAUCUCAAGAUUUGAUCCCCAUUAUCAUCAUCUGUGGCCCUAUUUGUUUUAUAAAUGUAUUGUCUUUUUCCAUGCCUGUCACAUCUCUAUUGCUCUUUCAUUUUUCUCUUUGUCCCUUAUAGGGAGCAUUGCCUAUCUCUAGAUUAAGCAAAAGUUGCAUCAUAAAAAAGCACAAUAACCUGCUCAAUCUUUCUCACACAGAGAAAUGUUUGUUAAGUAAUUAAAGUGUAGAUGAUGAUACAAAGAGCUUGAUUAAAUUAGAUGCCAAAGUACCCUUGUGAUUCAGAAUAUGAAUGGUAUUUAAUUUCUUUGAAAUCAUUAAUUGCUGAGUGAGAUUAAUUAAUGCCAAUAUUCCAGAAGAUGUUCUACUUAGUGAAAUGUAUACAACGAAAAGCACAAUAACCUGCUCAAUCUUUCUCACACAAAGAAAUGUUUGUUAAGUAAUUAAACUGUAGAUGAUGAUACAAAGAGCUUGAUUAAAUUAGGUGCCAAAGUACCCUUGUGAUUCAGAAUAUGAAUGGUAUUUAAUUUCUUUGAAAUCAUUAAUUGCUGAGUGAGAUUAAUUAAUGCCAAUAUUCCAGAAGAUGUUCCAGUCAGUGAAAUGUAUACAACGUGCAAAAGAUUCAGAACUCUGAAGGGCAACAUUAUUCUAUAAUUAAGAAUUAAGAAUGAAUUCGCAUUAAUUACUGGGGAGAAAUACUUUUUAAGAAUUAAUGACUGAGAAAAUGUUUUUAUUUUUUAUUUAGAAAAUUAUUUUGUGCAUGAGCAUUACCGCAAGUUUUGCAAGAAACAUAAAUUUAAAGAAACAAUUAUGUGCACAAGAUGAAUUUAAUAACAUCUUGAUAUAUUCCACGAUUGCGGUUUUAUUUGGUAAAUCUUUCAAGGCACACCAUUUAAAGAGAAUAAAUGAGUCUUGGAAAUCUUGUAGGUAAGGGUAAAUAUUAGGAUGCAUCCAGUUACAUUUACACACACAUACAGUUACAUUUACACACACAUACACGCAUACAGACUGAGUCACGUGUGUGUAUAUAUAUAUAUGAAUUUACCAAUUGAUGUUAACUAAUAUUUAUAAGAGCCAGUUGGAUUGAUAUAUAUUGUUGAACCUGAAAAAUAUUUAUUAUAUACAUGUUUAAAAUACACACAGAAAUAAAUAGCAAUUGCACUAGGCAUUUGAAACUGUACUAAAAUAUAAGCUGUGAACAUUUUGUGAUCAUUACAAAUUCUUACACUGAAUAAAUAUUUUUAUUUUUACAAUAUUAAUAUGUUUGAUACCUGUGUAUAUUUUUUUACAAUGUGUUAUUUUAUUUUUGUCAUAGAGUCAUGUCAUGCAUAAUAACAUUUUAGUCAAAGAUGGAUUACAUAUACAAAAGUGGU